AGGGCGUAUGGUGGAUGCCUAGGCUCUCAGAGGCGAAGAAGGACGUGAUAAGCUGCGAAAAGCUCCGUUUAGGUGCAAAUAACCUUUGAUGCGGAGAUCUCCGAAUGGGAUAACCCAAUAUGUUGAAGACAUAUUAUACCGUAAGGUAGGCAAACGCAGGGAACUGAAACAUCUAAGUACCUGCAGGAGAAGAAAACAAACGUGAUUCCCCCAGUAGCGGCGAGCGACCGGGGAAAAGCCCAAACCGUUAUUGUUUCGGCAUUAACGGGGUAGUAGGACUGCGACAUUGAUGAAAUAAAUGAAAUGGAACACCUUGGAAAAUGUGAUCACAGAGGGUGAUAAUCCCGUACAUGCAAGUUUAUGAAUCAUAGCAGACUCCUGAGUAAGUCGGGACACGUGUAAUCCUGACCGAAUCCGCCGGGACCAUCCGGCAAGGCUAAAUACUCCUGAGAGACCGAUAGUGAACCAGUACCGUGAGGGAAAGGUGAAAAGCACUUCGAACAGAAGAGUGAAAUAGUCCCUGAACCCAUACGCCUACAAGCAGUCGGAGCCGCUUCGUGCGGUGACGGCGUGCCUUUUGCAUAAUGAGCCUACGAGUUACUCAUCACCAGCGAGGUUAAGUACUUCAGGUACGUAAGCCGAAGCGAAAGCGAGUCUGAAUAGGGCGUCAAGUUGGUGGUGGUAGACGCGAAACCUUAGUGAUCUACCCAUGGGCAGGGUGAAGGUUUGGUAACACAAACUGGAGGCCCGAACCGGUAAACGUUGAAAAGUUUUCGGAUGACCUGUGGGUAGGGGUGAAAGGCCAAUCAAACUGGGAAAUAGCUCGUACUCUCCGAAAUGCAUUUAGGUGCAGCCUCUGUUGUUUUGUUCUAGAGGUAGAGCUACUGAUUGGAUGCGAGGGCUUCACCGCCUAUCAAAUCCGGCCAAACUCCGAAUGCUAGAACAUGAAGACAGGGAGUGAGCCAGCGGGUGCUAAGGUCCGUUGACGAAAGAGGGAGAACUCAGACCAUCAGCUAAGGUCCCCAAUUGUAUGCUAAGUUGGAAUUAAAACGGGGUGGGACUGCUUAGACAGCUAGGAUGUUGGCUUGGAAGCAGCCAUUCAUUUAAAGAGUGCGUAACAGCUCACUAGUCGAGCGGUCCUGCAUGGAUAAUACGCGGGCAUAAGCAUAUAACCGAAGCUAUGGGAUUGUAGAUGAUACAAUCGGUAGGAGAGCAUUCCAUUCAGCAUAGAAGCAGUAUCGUGAGGUAUUGUGGAGCGGAUGGAAAAGCAAAUGUAGGCAUAAGUAACGAUAAUGCGGGUGAGAACCCCGCACGCCGAAAGAUCAAGGAUUCCCCGGCAAUGUCAAUCAUCCGGGGGUAAGUCGGAUCCUAAGGGUAAGCCGAGUGGCGAUCCCGAUGGCAAACAGGUUAAUAUUCCUGUACUGAUCAUAACUGCGAUGCAGCGACGCAGAGGUGACACUGCUGCGUACUGACGGAAUAGUACGUUGAAACCCGUAUUCUUUGAUACCGGUAGUGAAGCACGCCGGUAGAGAUGAAAGGUGAUAGUACCGCAAUGCUUCGGUUGCGCGGAUAACGCAGGUAAGCUGACUGCCAAGAAAACCUGCUAAGCUUCAGGUAAUGAUCAUCCGUACUGUAAACGGACACACGUGAUCAGGUAGAAAAUACUAAGGCGCUCGAGAGAUUCAUGGUUAAGGAACUAGGCAAAAUGGUCCUGUAACUUCGGGAUAAAGGACGCUCUUGUGAAAGAGCCGCAGAUAAUAGGCCCAGGCGACUGUUUACCAAAAACACAUGGCUAUGCUAAUUCGCAAGAAGAUGUAUAUGGCCUGACACCUGCCCGGUGCCGGAAGGUUAAGAGGAGAGCUCAGAGGCAACUCGAAGGUUUGAAUUGAAGCCCCGGUAAACGGCGGCCGUAACUAUAACGGUCCUAAGGUAGCGAAAUUCCUUGUCGGGUAAGUUCCGACCUGCACGAAUGGUGUAACGAUCUGGGCACUGUCUCGACCAUGAGCUCGGUGAAAUUGUAGUUCCGGUGAAGAUGCCGGGUACCCGCGACGGGACGGAAAGACCCCGUGAACCUUUACUGCAGCUUCGCGUUGUUCCCGGGCACGGGACGUGUAGGAUAGGUCGGAGGCAAUGAAGCGGUUUCGCCAGGAAUCGUGGAGCCAUCGUUGAAAUACGACCCUUCUCUUGUCUGGGAUCUAACCCGUUUAACGGGGACACCGCGUGGUGGGUAGUUUGACUGGGGUGGUCGCCUCCAAAAGCGUAACGGAGGCUUCCAAAGGUACCCUCGGGUUGGUUGGUAAUCAACCUAGGAGUGCAAUGGCACAAGGGUGCUUGACCGGGAGACUCACAAGUCGAUCGGGUGCGAAAGCAGGGCAUAGUGAUCCGGUGAUCCCGCGUGGAAGGGUCAUCGCUCAAAGGAUAAAAGGUACUCCGGGGAUAACAGGCUGAUCGCCCCCAAGAGCUCAUAUCGACGGGGCGGUUUGGCACCUCGAUGUCGGCUCGUCACAUCCUGGGGCUGGAGAAGGUCCC
rnacentral:rRNA from 1 species